rnacentral:lncRNA from 13 species
UCAAUUACUUUUCUGCCACGGGAUGGUCUUGCAGUCCUGCCCUGACUCAUUAAUGCCUCUGACCUCAGGGGAUUGUACAGACAGCUCCUGCCUCGGGGUUCUAAAAAAGUCUCCACUCAACACAUGAAUAUUCCACAGAGUGCCUAGAAGAGCUGGUCCAACCCAGGUCAUAGGGGAGUAAGCUGGGUCCCAAGGCAAGGGAAGCUGGAUGCCAGCAUCUUCUCAGACUCUACUGGGAUAGGAAAUUUUCUCCAUCUCCCGGAGCCUCAGUCUCCUGCCUAUAAAAUAUACAAGACGCGCAGGACACGGCGUCUUCAGACAUCCCAGGGCAACGACGGCAGCCCGAAUGAGACAAGAUUCAUAGAAGUGCAGAAAUCCAGAGGUCUGAACUGAAUGAGAACAUCCCCGAGGAGACAGUACAGUGGAGUGGCCAGGAAAUAACUCUGGAGCCAAGAAGACUGGAAUUUGAAUCCCAAAACCAUCAGCUAUCAACUGUAUAACCUUUUCCUUCACCUCUAUAAGAACAAGGUUCCUGGUCUGUAAACAGGCAAACAUAACCGCUGCCUCAAAGGUUAUGAGGUUUAUGUGAG